UUAGCAGACUUAUCUUAUCGCCAGGCUUUUAGCCUGGAGGAAAGUCCGAACACCACAGAGUAUUCAUAGCGGAUAACAUCCGUCCAACGUAAGUUGAGGACAAGUGCAACAGAAAGCAAGUACAGGUAAUGCUGUAGUGAAACCAGGUAAACUCUAUGAGGUGCAAUGCCAUGUAUAUUAGAGCUUGAGAGUUACUCGCUCAAUUCUAAAGGGUAGGCAGUUAGAUUUUAAAAGUAAUUUUAAAACUAGAUAAAUGAUAAGAACCUAAAAAUUUAGGUACAGAAUUCGGCUUAUAAGUCUGCUUUUACU
rnacentral:RNase_P_RNA from 1 species